GGCUUCUCAGACCUGAACCUGCCUUGAAUACUCAUGAGGACCCAGGAGCUACUCCUCACCUCCCACUUCUCUUCCCUCCUGUCAGAUAACCAAGGCACAGCCAACUGAUCUCCAACCAUCUGAGGAACCCAACCAUAAGCAGGUGUGGGAACCGCUGAGCAGCACACCCUCCCCCAGCAGGAAAUCUGGGACACGCAGGAGCCUCAGUGAAUCCGACCGUUGUCUCAUCUUACCAGGUCACCCGGCUGGAAAGAGUGGCAGAGCCCCGUCUGGUCAGGAACUGGGUUGGGAUGAGCUCCCCGGACAAGCGGCUGGAUGAUGUCUUGUACCUGUUGGAGAGACUGCAGAUUCUGAGCAGGAUGACAGAUCCCAGGACCAACUCUAAAGUGGGUGGACUCUGGGUCCAGAAGAAGGACUUCCUGGGACCCCAAAAGGAUGAGGGGAUUAUACGGCCUGUGGCUGGGGAGAGACUGACAGAACUCUGGAUCUCAUACACCUCAUAAUUCCCCCAA